rnacentral:rRNA from 1 species
UACGGAGGGUGCAAGCGUUAUCCGGAUUUACUGGGUUUAAAGGGUGCGUAGGUGGGUAGGAAAGUCAGUGGUGAAAUCUUCGGGCUUAACCCGGAAACUGCCAUUGAUACUAUUUAUCUUGAAUACUUUGGAGGUAAGCGGAAUAUGUCAUGUAGCGGUGAAAUGCUUAGAUAUGACAUAGAACACCAAAUUGCGAAGGCAGCUUACUACACAGUUAUUGACACUGAGGCACGAAAGCGUUGGGGAUCAAACAGG